rnacentral:rRNA from 1 species
CCUGCAACGAGCGCACCCCCUGUAAAUAGUUGCCAUCAUUAAUUUGGGGACUCUUGUGAGACUGCCUACGCAAGUAGAGAGGAAGGUGGGGAUGACGUCAAAUCAUCACGGCCCUUAGGCCUUGGGCCACACACGUAAUACAAUGGCCGGUACAGAGGGCCCUACACAGUGAUGUGAUGCAAAUCUCGAAAGCCGGUCUCAGUUCGGAUUGGAGUUUGCAACUCGACUCUAUUAAGCUGGAAUCGCUAGUAAUCGCGCAUCAGCCAUGGCGCGGUGAAUACUUU